rnacentral:tRNA from 1 species
UCCCUAUUGGCUCAGCAGGUAAAGAAUCUGCCUACAAUGCAGGAGAUACAGGCUCAAUCCCUGGGUAGGGAU